rnacentral:rRNA from 1 species
UACGGAGGGUGCAAGCGUUGUUCGGAAUCAUUGGGCGUAAAGCGCGUGUAGGCGGCUUGGCAAGUCAGUUGUGAAAGCCCGGGGCCCAACCCCGGAACUGCAUCUGAAACUGCUUGGCUCGAGUCCCGGAGAGGAAGGCAGAAUUCCCGGUGUAGGGGUGAAAUCCGUAGAUAUCGGGAGGAACACCAAUGGCGAAGGCAGCUCGCUGGGACGUGACUGACGCUGAGACGCGAAAGCGUGGGGAGCAAACAGG